AUUUACCCCAAUUUCACGGUCCACUGAUCAUAGAAAAUGAUAAAGCGAGUGGUACAUCCGUGAACUUGGGACACAUUCUUGUUUACCCAAUUUCAUGGUCCAUUGUACAUGGAAAAUAAUAGUGCGAGUGGGGCAUCCGUGAACUUUGGACACAUUCUUGUUUUUUUUCAUAAAAUUAAAAAGAUUGAUAUCAUAGGGUUUGUACUUUAUCAUGUUCUGAGUAUUUUCCUGAAUACUCAGAAAGUAUUCACAGGCCUAGGGAUACUUUAUUGUAGCUUGGACAGUGGAAAUAAAAAUGUAACAAACAAAAUAUGUAUUCGUUGUUAAAAGAAAUACGCAUGUGCCUACAAAUAGUUUUAAAAAAAAUAAUCAAAAAGAAAUUUUACUGCAGCCCCCAUAUUACUUGCUUACGUUUUUUUUUCACACUGCAAUGAUAUAUAUAAACGUCUAAAAUAUUUAGCUCCACUUCUAUGUUAAGACAUUAGGGGAGGGUUGGUAUCCCACUAACAUGUUGAACUCCGCCACAUUAUUUAUGUAUGUACCUGUCCCAAGUAAUCAGGAGCCUGUAAUUCAGUGGUUGUCGUUUGUUUAUGUGUUACAUGCCGUACGGUGACCUAUAGUUGUUAAUGUCUGUGUCAUUUUGGUCUUUUGUGGAUAGUUGUCUCAUUGGCAAUCAUACCACAUCUUCUUUUUUAUAUAUACACAUAUAGAGUGAGAUUAUUUAGACUGGAUACGGUACUAUAUUCUUUGGUAACAGGAAGUGAGGCCAGUGCUGUAAAAAUAAUAUGAAACUAAGGUGUGCGAGUAGAACCUCGGUCAGUGGGUCAAUAGAGCCUCAGUUAGAGAGUCUGCAGUAAAUCUUAAUUUAAGACUUGGAAGUAGAACCUCAGAGAGUGAGUCGGUGCAAUAAAACCUAUAUAAAUCAAAGGCAUGUGAGUAGAACCAUAGAUGAGUAUUUCAUCUAUGGUAGAACCUAUGUUAGUGAGUCAGUGUGAGUUAAAUUUAGAUUAUAGAGAAAUAUGUAAAUACGUAAUACCGGCGUCACACAUCAGCGUAUAGCUCCGACGUACGCCAGGCGUGUUAAAAAAUCAUGUACGCUGCCAAUACGCUAGUAAUUUUUGAUGCAUUUAACCUGUCAAUCAUAUCUGUAACGUGUGCACAACGAGCUUUAGGCGGGUAUUGUGGGUACGAGAAGCGUUCAUAAGCGUUUAUCGGGCGUUCAAGAAACGUAUGUUGGCGUAUGCCUGGCGUUUGUCUAACGUAGAGGAAAAGCACGCUACGAAGGGAAAAAGUUUCUUGGACGUAUCUUCCCGGUCGUGUCUUGGACGUUCUUUUAUGGAGAGUAUGUUACAAUCACCCCCGCAUACGGUAAACGCGCUUGUAGCGUAUGUAUUACGUGCGUGUAGCGUACAGGUAUACGCUAGACACACGCUUGAGCUGGAUGAAAGUUGUUAUGCUGCAUAAAAAAAAAUCAGUUAUAGCGUUCAUCAAGCGUAUACUUUUAUAUUUCGACGUACUUCAAACUUGUGCAACGCGCUUAACGAUUGCUUAGCGUUCCUCUGGCGUGCAACUAACGUAUACCGACUUUGUCAAUUUUCUCUCUGCGUUUGGUGCACGCCGGUCUAUACGCCAACGUGUGACGCCGGCAUAAUCAAUUUGAAACAGGUGCCUUGUCCUAACAAUCAUAUUUGUAUUUAGAUGUUUUAUUACUCUAUUUUGCAUGACUUUAACAUUUGGAUUUAUACAUUGUAUAUAAUUAUAUAUGUGUGUAUGUGUGUGUGUGUGUCCCAUACCAUAUGAGUAUUUGAACGAAAUUGCAUAGGUUGAACCAUAUGAGUUUUAUAUUACCUCCUAUACAUUUCAGGCUAGGAAUAUGAUGGGUUAUAAUCAACCGCGUUGAUACCGUGUAUAUUUUAUAUGGGGUUAAUGUGCUUUGUUAGUUUCUAUACACAGUUGGUAGUGGUGUUGCGUCCCUUUCCAAAAUAACACGGUGUUGAGGAAAAAUCCGGAAAUAAGAAAAAAUUAAGAAGUUACUUAAAAGGAUAUAAGAUUCUACCUCAGUGAAAAAAUGGCAAACAACGAUAAUUUUCAGAAUAUUACACUGGAAUUGCUAGUGAUUGGAUAAACAAUUAGGCAACAAUGCACGAACGUGGUUUGCCAAAAUACUCAUAUGGUAUGGAGCAUUCUAGUUUAUAUAAUUGUAGUUAUAUCACUGAUCCGUCCAUUAUUCCCUUGUUUUAUAAUAUUAAGCUCAAUACUGUGAUAUUAAUAUAGUGUUAGUCAUUAUAGAUUUAUUUUAUUCCUAUAUUUAUGUUUAUUGUUUAUAUAUACAUUGAAUAAUGUAUGUUGUAUCGUAAUCUUCUGUCCCAUUCUAUAUUUAUGUUUUUGAAUACCUCAUGGGUAUGUGCUA
rnacentral:lncRNA from 1 species